UGCCUUCUGGUCUAAUGGUAAGACACAACGCUCUGAACGUUGAAAUUGGGGUUCGAUUCCCUGGAAGGCAG
rnacentral:tRNA from 1 species